GGUGCACCCGUGAGCAGGCACCAGCACUGCGCCGACCACUUUAGGGGAAAAGCAGACCCGUGACCAUCAACGCAGUCAAACGAUCGGAGUGUCGCUUGCAUCCUCUCCUAACUCGCCUGCCCAGAUAGAGAGAGAGAGAGCCCUACUGAGAGAGGAGAUACAACCUCGUCAUAGCAAGAUCAGCGUGCUGGAGACCGAGCGACGUCCUUUUCAAUGGAGAAGAACGGCAGCACUGCACAGGCGAUGGAGGUCGACGAACUAAAAGAUGCAUACACCGCAGUCCCUAGUGUGGAUCAGAACACACAACCAGCCAACAAGAGCACACCUGGCGCUGAGAGGAUUGAUGGGGAAAACACGGACGAGGAGGAAAAGAUUGUCAGUAUUAACCUUGACGUAUCUGCAGUUUCAGUUGUUGUUUGUUUCCCUCGAUAGUUAAAUAAGUUCAGUUGGAUGUGUUGUUCUGAAUGUCAACUGAAUGCCAGAAGCGAGCUGCGUUCUCGCUGCGGCCUUGUCUUUUUUAGAUCAAGUUAGUUAGCUUUAGACUCGGCACGAUUCAGGCUCGUAGGAUGGCACAUGCAAUUGUUGGAUCGUGGCGAGUUUUCAGUUUUUCUGUUAGCGACUAAUAAAAGUAAGAAUAGAAAAGAAGCACUCUUUACGCGUCGCAAAAGCUCUCUCUCUCUCUAUGGUUGCAUUCCUGCUCUCUGUUCCCUUCCACCUCCUGUGCGUGUAUUGUGUUAUUCAGAGAGAAAGAUUAGAGUUUGAGAGCAACUAGAUCACAGCCUCAAAACCAACAAAGGUUAGCAAACCAGCGGAAGGGGCCGAAGCAGACAACAGCCGGCAAGGAACAAAGAGGGGAAGCAUAGCAUCGGAGGGAAGCCUGGGGGCGAUCGAGCGGGCGAUGGAAGAAGAAGUGAAGCUUGGGAAGAAAAUUGUGUUCGAACCAGCUGUGUGCAUGUCUUUCAACUCUGAGCAGGAGGCAUAUGAGUUUUACAAUGCGCACUCCUGGGAAGUCAGGUUCGGCAUCAAGCGUGGGAACAAGUACAUCAACGGCAACCCUACAAAUCUAAACAAGAUUUACUGUGCUCAUGCGAGGGCAAAGAUAGUAAACAAAAUUCAAGAUCAUCCAGGACGCAAUGUCGUUAACCGUUAACGUACCCAGCCGCCCAUGGAAUUGUAGACGGCACGGGUUCGCUCACUAGGGGCCUGGUCGUCGUGGAACACCCUCACCGAUGCAACUUGAUUGCGCCACCCGCCGUCCGUGAAACGGACGAGGUACGAUUGUACCGAGAGGGCGGACACGUCGACGGCUACCCUCGUUGAACUCGACGAGGAUUGCUUCCUUCAACGCCCCCGGUCGACGCACGCCGCGGUGAUCACCAUUGCGGUGGCUCGGAGACGGUUCUCUUCUUCCACCAUGGCGGGUGUGCCCUCAAUCAUGCAGUAAGACAUGAACGGACAGUUGUUUGGGUCGGAGGAAAACGACAUCGGGAGCUCACGUUCUCCAUCGGUGGUAUAGUUUUUGGUUGGUUUCUACCACUGAAGCGUAACACAAAGGCUAUUUUGUGGUUUUGGCAUGACCCGCGGUCUAUUUUAUAUAUAAACAUGCACGUCUUUAAAUGAAUGCGUC